GACGAACGCUGGCGGCGUGCUUAACACAUGCAAGUCGAGCGGUAAGGCCCUUUCGGGGGUACGACGAGCGGCGAACGGGUGAGUAACACGUGGGUGACCUGCCCUCAGCUCUGGGAUAAGCCUGGGAAACCGGGUCUAAUACCGGAUAUGACUCCAUGACGCAUGUUGUGGGGUGGAAAGCCUUGUGCGGCUGAGGAUGGGCCCGCGGCCUAUCAGCUUGUUGGUGGGGUGAUGGCCUACCAAGGCGACGACGGGUAGCCGGCCUGAGA
rnacentral:rRNA from 1 species